CUCUAAGUAACUUAAGGAAUAUAAAUCAACAGAGAUAUUAUGAGUAUUGGUGAGAGAAAAUAAUAAAGGUCUAAUAAGUAUUAUGUAAGAAGUAUGUAAGAAAAUAGGAUAACAAAUUCUAAGACUAAAUACUAUUAAUAAGUAUAAUAAGUACCGUAAGGGAAAGUAUGAAAAUGAUUAUUUUAUAAGCAAUCAUGGAUAUAAUUUUAAUAUUAAUGAUGUACCUUUUGUAUAAUGGGUCAGCAAGUAAUUAAUAUUAGUAAAACAAUAAAGUUAUAAAUAAAUAGAAAAAGUAUAUAUAUAAAAAAAUAUAUUAAAAUAUUUAAUUAAUAUUAAUUGACCCGAAAGCAAACGAUCUAACUAUGAUAAGAUGGGUAAACGAUCGAACAGGUUGAUGUUGCAAUAUCAUCUGAUUAAUUGUGGUUAGUAGUGAAAGACAAAUCUGGUUUGCAGAUAGCUGGUUUUCUAUGAAAUAUAUGUAAGUAUAGCCUUUAUAAAUAAUAAUUAUUAUAUAAUAUUAAAAUAAUAUUAUAUAAAGAAUGGUACAGCAAUUAAUAUAUAUUAGGGAACUAUAAAAGUUUUAUUAAUAAUAUUAAAUCUCGAAAUGUUU
rnacentral:rRNA from 1 species